GCUUUUCAAUAAGAUGAAAUCCCAGUUAUCGAUUCUUUCUGCUAGCUCCUGUGCUACUGAGGUUUUGUUCAUAAAGUCUUUUCCUAUGCCAAUAUCUUCAAGAGUUCUACCUAACUUAUCUUCCAGCAAGUUUAGUGUUUCUGUCUUAAUAUUUAGAUCUUUAAUCCACUUAGAUCUUAGUUUAGUGCGUGGUGAUAUAUAUGGAUCUAGUUUUAAUCUCUGACAGGUUGAAAUCCAGUUUUUCCAACACCAUUUAUUAAAUAGGCUAUCUUUCCUCCAAUGAUGGUGGUUGGCUCCUUUGUCAAAGAUGAGGUGACUGAGUAUGUCUGAAGUUUUUUUUGCAUCUUCUAAUGUAUUCCACUGAUCCUCGGGUUUGUUUCUUUGCCAGUACCAUGCUGUUUUUAUCACAGUAGCUUUGUAGUAUAGCUUCAAGUUGGGUAUUGUGAUACCCCCAGCCAUGUCUCUGUUGCCCAGAUUUGCUUUUGCUAUUCUAGGUCUCUUCUUGUUCCAAAUGAAUUUUUGGAUUGUUAGCACCUUCCUUCCUGUCACUUGCUAUCAUAUUUACCCUCUUUUGAUUUGUUCACUGUAUUUGUUAUUAUCCAAAUCAUUUUAUUAAUUUACUUACAUGUUUAUUUUUGUUCUCACUUCUAAUACACUUCUUUGAGGGACAGACUCUAUAAUUCCUAAAUUGUAUUCCCAGCCCUAGCAUAUUACUGAUAUACACGAUAAGUACUCCUAGAAGAUUGGCAUUGACUCGAAUCAUUCCAGGGAGUAUUACAUUUGUUGAUUAAUUCAUAACUACCUUAUAUCAGAAAUAUACUGUUUGAGUCCCAGUUCCAUCUUGUUUAGCUGUAAAAUGCUGGGUAAGUUAGUUGAACUCUCUGUAUCACAGUUUUUUUAUUUGUAAAAUGGGGCACUUAAGAGUCCCUCGCUUGUAGGGUGGAUAAGGAUUAAGUAAGUUAGUACAUGUAAAAUGCAUGGAAUAUUUGGAACAGUGUCAGGCCCAUAAUAAGUAUUUGCUACUGUUAUUAGGACUGAAUAUAGGUGCCAUUUCAUUAAAAGGCUACUUCCUUUUGCAAGUUUUCAGUAAGGACAUUGGAAAAGCAAAUGUAUCUGAAGGAAUGAUGAUGCUCCAAGAAUUAUCUGUUCCUGUUGAAAACAUUGGAAACUGUUUGUUCCCUUUCAAAUCAUUGACCCUUAGAAUCAUCAUGGGAAGCAGUUCACAAACAUCACCUCUCACUCACUGAGAGAUAAAGGGAAGAGGAUUUAAUUAGACUUCCCACUGGAAGGUUACUGAUAAGCAACUUCAAACCUUGGAAAAGCCAGCAGGACAUCAGUAUCUUCCCAACUGAAACAUUUGUCUGACAGUGAAAGAUCCUGAUAAUUGUCUUCAACCUUUAGACAAAGAGCCAGUAAGGUGAGGAGCAACUUCACAAAUGAACCAGGAAUUAGAAAAGUGAGCAGCAGCCAAAUUCCUACCCCUUCUUCUUAAACUAUUGAACACCUACCAUAGUUCAGAACAUUAGACAUAUGGUCACUUCAUUCCUGUAACACUGAAUGAGUAAGACAUUAUUUUCAGCUACCAGAGGGAAGACUAAGGCUCAAAGCAUUUAAGAAUCUCUCCCAAUGUUCUGUGUCUAAUUAGUGGCAAAGCUGUAAUUAAAUUUAAGUGCUUACCAGGAUCAGAUAGGUACUGUAGAGGAUGAAAAUGGUUGUGAACUGUGUUCUUUGAACACAAAUAAAUUUUGUGUGUUAAAUAAUUGUAUAAACUAUUUUUCAAAGAAAUAUGAUUUUUAUUAAAACACAAGGGUUUCUUUGGUGUAUCUUUUGUUUUGUAAAUUUGUCGGAGACAUUCUACCUCAUUUUUCCCUUUCUUGAGGCGAAAACAGUGCUACACAUAGUGAUCAGUGGCUGGUGAUGCUUGGCCUCUAUGUCAGGGAGUAAGAGAUGCUGAGUCUGAUAAACUAGAGGGGCUCCUCCUAGGGCGGUAUAACUACCUGAUUCUAGAUGCCUUCAUCAGCCAGGCCCAGGGGAUUUGUGUGGUCAGAGCCAUAAGUAAAUGCUGGGUUAAUUAUUUUAGUUCUUCCAGAACUGGUGAGCCCAAGACAAGAGAAAAUCAAGGGGAUGAAAGACUGGAAUUUCUGAGCAUGUUCUAUUUCCUCUUUUAAUCCUUUGAUGAUGGCUCUAAGCCUACACACCUUGGGAAAAUCUAAUCAUAUCUUUUAAUCUAGGUUACUUAGUUCCAUGCUACUCAUUGUGUGUAUGUUUCCUUCAGUUAUCACAACCCUCUAGAAAAACUUUCAAGGGACAUUAAGAAGAUGGGUUAGUGUUCAUAAAUGAUUAAUGGGAGGAGUUGACAAUCUGAUGUUGGGGUGAUGAAUUUUUGGGGACUUGAAUUAAUGCUAUAAGUUCUAACCACCUCAUCCCAUGUGGAGACUCUUUUGCCAAUUUUGAUGAUACAGAUUUAUUUCUAAGGGAGACAGUAGGCUUAUUUCAAGGAAAGUAGGAGGUUUAUAGGCAAGACAAUGAAGAAGUGAUGUGAAAUAUAAAAAUGGGAACAUCCAUACUCGAGUGCACUCGCAUACAGUAAAAGGUUCCUGGAAUUACAAAUCUUUCAGGUUCAGAGUUGUUGCACUGAAACAAUUGCUAGAAUCCUCUGUGUGUGUGUGUGUGUGUGUGUGUGUGUUAUAGUUGUGUUAACAGCAAUGGUUAAAAAGCAAAUAUCCACUAAACUUUUACAUUUAUAAUGAAAGCCAUCUCAUGGUAUUCUCACAAUAUGUUCUGAAAUAGGCAUUAUUGUUUUCAUUUUGCAGCUGAAGAAGCUGGUAUCUACAACAGUUUAGUGAUUUAUUCAAGGUUACAGGAUUAGUUGGUAUCAAAAUAUGUAUGAAUAUAGAUUUUUUUGCUUUGGACCUUUGUGCUAUAUCCCACUAUAUUUGUUACUGCCUGGAAAUCAUUUAAAAGAGUUGUCAUUCAUGUAAUCGGCACUACAGUGAAUGUUUGGUUCUCUCUACAUUGAUACACUAUAUGCCCUGAAUUAUUGAACAAUUAAUAACUGGGUUUUUGACUCUUACAAGUGGAAGGAGAAAGUUGUUUAAACUAAAAAACCAUUGUCAUGAUUUUCAUCAAGUCUUGUGACCUUCAUACCUUUUCCUUCUUCCAGUCCCACCCAUAAUCCUAAGAGAAAGGAAAUUUACCUCAUCAAUCAGAUUUUCCAAGGUGGCAAACCCAGAUGUACACAGAGGCCCAUGGGAAUCUCUCUUAACACAAUCUGAUGAUUUUAAUGUGUAUAAUUAUACUUCAAUAAAAAUUAAGCAAAUACUUAUGAAUGUUUUGAAGGCUUAAAUGGGAGAAUAUAUUUCAUUAUGUGGUCAAAAUAAGAAUAAAUACAUGCAUAAAUAAAUAAAUGUGUGUGUGUGUAUGAGAGAGAGAGAGGUGCACUACUAGCUCCAGGAACUGUAAUAUAUUAAUAGUGCAAUAGUAGGUCCAGCAUGCAAAAAUGAGAUAUGUAAGAAGUAAUGAUUAUAUCAAGAGAAAAAUAAAAAAUAUUCAGUUACUCUUUACUAUGAAUAACAGUAUGCAUCUUUAGAAAUAAAGCAUUUUCUGAGUUUUAUGUUUGCUGAAUGGAUAAACGAAUAUACACUAAGUAGAAGAUACAAACUUAAAUGACACAAAUUCAAAUAAUAAAUAAAUCUUAUGGCUACAGAAAGAACAUAUUACAUGUUCUUUUUAUUUAUUUUAUUUCUGUUUAUUUUUUUUUUUGGUCUCAACACAACUUUACUCAAAAGAAGUUACAAAUUAUAACACCCACCAGGAGGAUUUUUCUUUCAAUUACAAUUAACAAAAAUAAAAUUAACAUAGCAGUCAAUGUGGCUGUUCUAAAGCUCAACAUAAUAUGCAUGGUGACCAGCUCCUCCUAUCCUUAACCAUGGGAUAAUAGGAAAACUAAGGCUUAGAACUUUAAAAACUUUUGCUCUUCCUGUGUUUAAACUCUUGGGCUAUACCUUACUUCUGAAACACAUACACAGAGUAUUUAAGAUUUAGAAGUCCCUUUGAGCCAUAAAUCAUUUUUACACAUGAUAUUUUUGUUGAAAAGGACAUAAUAAAUUCAAAUUUAUUGUAUGAUAAACUUUAUUUAAUUUAAACAUAAAAACUCAGCAAAAUCAAUGACUAAUUUCUGAAAGAGAUUAUCAUUUGAUUAAUGCCAUUAAAAAACUACUGUUAUUUUAUCCAUGGUUUUGGUUAUUUGUAGUAAGAUGCUUAACAUGAGAUCUACUCAGAGUUCUAAGUGUGUAAUACAUUAUUGUUGGCCAUAGAUCCUGUGGGACCUCUUGAUAAAUCUGAAAGACACCUAUGGUAACUGCUACAAGGCAGAGGAAACAGCUUUGGUCCAUGGGACUGGGACUACCAAGAGCCUUGGAUGGUGGUGGCAACCUUAAGCUUCCAAUGACUCACACUGGGGCCACAGGAUUCAGGAAUCCAGGCUACAAUGCCCACAACCAGCACCCCAGGAAGGCUGAACAACUGCCAGACUCUGGUCAAAGAUUAUGGUGUGGAUGGGCUCAAUGAAUUUUGGUGGAGAGUUACCAAUUCAGUGCAACAAGAACUGACUGAUCUAAUAAAACUUACUUUGGGGGGUAAGGCUUAGUUUCUCCAGUUUCUAGGACCAAAAUCCAAGAUUAAAACUAGGUAUUUUUAUUAAGACACUAUUAAGAUGGAUGAAACAAACACCCCCUCUGAAAGAAAAAUUAAAGCAAACCAAAAAGUUGAGAAUUGUGUGAGCCUCAAGAAUACAAUUCUGAUAUAUUCUGCAUUAUGCAGGCCUCACUAUGUUAGGGCUGAGGCCUGUCCUGAUGGAGGAAUAUCUCUUUUUGAGAUAAAUUCUUCAAGGAAUUCUAUAAAUAUGUUUUAAGGAGCAGAUUUGUAUGGGACCCUUUUAAAUUUUGGUUUUGCCUUAUAAUCAGUGUAAAAGAUGUGUACAAAAAUAUAAAAGGCAUGACUUGAUGGUUAACAUCUGUGUUUUAUUGUUGUUGGCACCAGAAAAGCUCAUGUUCUAUGUUAUGCCACUGUACAUACUGUAAACAAGACUGCAUUAAUAUUGUUUUGUCAUGAUUUCUUGUUUCAAUGAAUCUAGAUUUUAAAAAAUACAUUCACAAACUACCUUAUGUUUGAACACAAUGAUUCCCUUUUAUUUCUUAACUGUACCCAAAAUUCCCACAAUAAAAAAUCAUUUAAAGCUGUGUGUUUUGAACUUAUCACUUAAAAAACAAAACAAAACAUAAAAACAAAGAUCAGUUUGCAACAUAAUUUAAAAAAAGCAUCUGGUUUAAAAUACCACAGCAGCGAUAUAAAGAGCUGGUGGCAACCACAUUUGGGGCUGAGGCC
ensembl:lncRNA